CUUAAGGACUGCAGUUACAGAAGACCUGGAAUUACCAGUUACUUUGAGGAGAGCAUAUAUGUAAAAUUAGUGCUGCCAAAACUUCUGAUGAACGUGUAGUCAACUAACACACAUUCAGACUUAAAAUGAAUGCGACAAGUUAGAUGGUGAUGGCCAUUGUACACACUACUGUCAUGUCCUUUUCCACUCUUAAUUCCCCCUAAUUCUUUGUCCUUCUUCUCUUUCCACUUGACCAUUUUCAGCUGUCAAAGCCAGUGUGAGUUAAAGAACUUAACUUCUGUUCUUCACCUAUAUGCUUCUAAGAAGAAAAUCAACCAUUACAAGCUGACGAAAACUAUUUAUUAGUUUUCAAGGUUCUGCUUUUCACGUCCAUUUUCAUUCUGUCUUCCUCUUUUCUUUUUGGGGAGGAGGGAAUAGUCAGCGUCACCUGACUGGUUGCUUUGGCUCUUACCCUGAAAGAUAACUAUGCCUCUCUCUCUGACUGGCCACCACCAGAGUUAAGAAUCCAGGAAUUGAAAGGGAAACUAGCAACUGCUAGGAUGAAAAGAAACAAAGUGCCUGUGUUUCAUAAGAGAAAUGCAUCUGGCACCUGAAAGCCAGGUGUAACAAUUUGGAGGCACACAAAGGAGAAGGAAAAUAUGCACGUACCUAAAUUUUGUGUGAAUCUGAGACAAAGAGCUGUGGCACAGUGCAUCAACCAGCAGCAUGACUCCUUUUUAGCCUCAUGGUUUAUAAUUUUGAGUAGUAAGACUAUGAUUACAAAAAUAGAGAUAGCGAGAAAUACAGAAAUAUCAUCUAUAAAAAUAUUUAAAACUUGAAGUGAACCAGUUUUAUCAAGCAAAUCCAUGACCUGAAGCAACCGCUUAUCAAAUGUUUUCUGUCUUAUUUCCACUCUCCCAAUACAGGUACUCCAUCCGUCAUGCCACAUUUCAUGUAAUAGACUUUGGCAUUACUGCUGAUUUUAAUGUUGCCUUACCAACAACAUUCCACAUCCAUUUUCACAAUCAUCUUUUAUAUCUCAGCAUUGAGAACGGCAGUAUGUGUUCACAUAAGGCAACACUCACUAGAUGCAAAGACAAUAGUAACUGACUAAAUAAUCUUUCUUUUCUUUUUCUUUUUUAAUUAAAUAUUGUUACAACAGCUGCAUACAAACACUUCUUAGCCUGUAUGUGAUUCAAUCUGCAAACUGAUCUCUCGGUAGCGGCUGUUAUUAACAAUAUAUUAUAUUGCAUGUAUAUUCAUUAUUUGUUUCCAUCUCUAGUCAAUUGGUUAACUAGCAAUGGCUUUUGAGUUCUGUUUUUGUUGGUGGUUUCUUGUGCUGUUGUUUUUUUUUUUUCUUUUUUUUUUACUUUUUCUCUUCUUUUCUUUCUAAUUUAAUUUAAUUUUGUUUUGUUUUUGUUCCUAGGUAUCUGAGUGGGACUUUUCCAAUUUGAGUCCAGGGCCAUGAUUACGUGGCAAACCUGAUCUGAUUUUCUCAUUGAAGAGCUCUUGACUCUAUCCCUCUGCUCUUUCCUUUGUUAUUCUCCUGGCGUGAAAAGCAAAUUCGUUACAAACAAAGCUUUCUAUGAUGGAAUAUUCUAUCUCUUUUCUGUGCCAUACUGUAAGUAUUAUUGAACACAUGUAUUAGACUACAUAGCCAAUAAUUUAAAACCACAAAUAUAUAUAUAUUUAAUCCUACUGAAAAAUUCACGACCUAUGGAGAACUGCCAUUGAGUUGUCACCAGCUUCUCUCAACUUCUCCUUCAUUUUACAACUUCAUCUCAUCAUCUGGGGUACUCCAAUGGGAAUGAUCCAUUCAGAGUCUGACUUCAAUUCAAAAUUGAUUUUCCUGUUCUAGGUCAGCUUUGUUAGUCAAGAAGUUAGGUGACCUAAUUAAUAUCUGUUACAUGAAAUGUUUAAGCAUGGCUCUACAGAAAACUGUAGGAUAUGUCACCAAAGCUUACACAAAUCCUGCAUACUUAAACUAUCAAAGAAAUCUAUCUAUUUACACCCACAGUGCUCCCUGCAGAUCCACUGCCAUAAAUAUAUAGAGAUUAAGUUCCUUAUACUCACAGCACCCAAAAGGCUGGGCAAUUUGGUACUCUGAAGAAUGAAUAAUAGUGACUUUGCAGUUCCCUUCCUUAUAUUCUCUGGACAACUUUUGCCUUAUUCUACUAGGACAAUCAAAGUUUUUAUCUACAUCCAGAUUCUUUAUCUCCAGUAUAUACACUGAAAGCACUCAAACACUUCCAAUAAUAAAUCCAGAAAACGAAAUAGAAAAUAUUAGCACUCUAUUGAUUAGAAGACCUGCUGGACCACUUCUGCUUUUCAGUGUAUUUCAAAUUACUUCUGGUAGCAGUUCACAAAAAUGAAUGCAUGCAGGAGACUAAACCUAGAGACUAAACUACCUGGAUUGUGAUCUCCAGGCAGCACAAUACUACUGUUCAGUACAUUGUUCCCUUGUUUAGGCUGGAAAAUGAGAGUCUUUGAUGCUUUGCAUUCCCUAUAAGAAAACAAGGGAAGAGAGCAAGGCAAGUUCAUGCUAGUUUUACCUGCAAGCUAACCUGAUGACUCAUUGUUAAUUUCAUACCCCUUCCUAAAACAUUGCAUAAAUCUAAUGCUCAUGGUCCAGUCUUUAUUACAUCAAGUUUUUAAACUUCUCUUUCCUGCCUCUGAAAGACCGAUGUCAUUUUACAUGAAUUGCAUUCAAAGCAGCAUUACUAACUGUCCCCUCCUCAUACUGAGAGAUUACUUGAGAAGAAAAUCUUCUAAAGGAACACACAUUGACACAGCGUAGCACCACAUCAUUAUUCAGGAACAACUCUUUUUUGCAUCUUGAAUGAAGUUCAAUUCAUCUUUAAUCUUAAUCAAUCUUUCAAGGUUCACGUAUACACAUAGUUGGGAAGACAUCAUUGACAAUAUAACCUUGAUCUCAAUUAUGCAAUUAGAAUUGAUUAAGAGCUUAGUUUGGCAGGAAUAUGCAAUGGAAAGAGACAUUCACAUCACCAGAAGAGCCCUGCAUAAUUUAGCAACAAGAAGAAUUUCCACUCAUUUCUGAGUGAAGUGCCAAAGCCAGGGAAUGCUGGUUAGGGGAGUACAAGCAACUUCAAUCAAUAUAAUUCACCUGAGGCACAUGAAUUUUAAUGGAUGGUAAGUUACAUAAACAGCACUUUUUCUAAAACAUCCAGCUCUCAAUAACUUCUUUAAAUCAGAG
ensembl:lncRNA